rnacentral:lncRNA from 1 species
GCUGGAGCUUUUAAAAAAAAAAAAAAAAAAGAAAAGAAAAUCAUGUUGCUUACCCUAUUGAGAGAUUAAUCAAAAGUGGCUGGAAAGAGAUAUAAAAAUAAAUUUCAAAAGUCAGAUUCUGAAGAUAUUUAAGAUCAAAACAAGAUGGUUAGGAUGGAAGGAAAAGCAACGCUGGAAAGAGUGGCUGAGAUAUUUCCAUGAAGUGAAAGUGUGUUUUCCUCAGAAUUCUCUAGUUUCUGCUGGGGGUAGGAUAAGAGUUAAUGAGAGCUCUGAGAUGACCAGGAUAACACCAACAGAAAGUGACAGAGUUUUUCUGCUCUCUUUAUAAACAUGAAAUAAAUCCUCAAAAUCUAAAAGGAGAAAACGUCCUCAAGUACUAACAUUGCUUUUGCUGUCACAUUUGUCCUGGCUUUGCAGAGGUUAAAAAGAUUAUUGCAUAGCAGCUUCCAAGCAUGGAAAAAGGAGGUAAUCAAAUUGGACCACAGCCCAGGGAAACUGUGAGGUCUUACUGAGCACUGCGUGCCAGUGGAAAGAAGCAUUUUGAAAGGUAAACUGGUGGGGGCGAUGGGGUUCAGAUAUUCUCUGAGACCGGGAACGUCACUGCUCUCCCCGGGAAGCUGCUUUAGGCACAGUGCUCCUGCCUGACUCGGGAAGACUGCUCUCCUGGCCUCCUGGAAGUCAUAUGGGAAACAGAUACCCAGUUUUUCAGCUCCAUUAACUGAAAGACUCUUUUCCUGAAUGUUGUCCUUGCAUCAUUGCACAAAAUCAGCUUACCAUAAAGAGGAUUUACUGAAAUCCUGAAACUUAGGAGUCAGCAAGUUUUUCAUUUGUGUUUGUCAAAUGUCAAGAAAAGCUGAGGAGUUACAAGAAACUCAGUGAUCCCUGACAGCUCUCUGCAAUUGCAGCAAAAUCUGAGCAAGACUGACAGAAACCACUCGGGGACAAACAUCUGACUUCCACAGCAGUUAAAAUCAUUGAAUACAGAACCAAAAUGUCUUCAUGUGAAAAACUCCAUCAAGACCCAAGAAAACUUCUGACUCAUUAGUAGUUUAGGGUACAUCAUGUGGAUGCUUUUGAAACCCCAUUCUUUGAAGUCUUCCCCACUUAACAUAUAUCUAAAAACCAUACAUACAUUCAUUAGAUAUAAUCUUAGUUACCAGUUUUAAAGGAAAUAAAAGCAUAUAGAACACAAUAGUUACAUCUCCAAAAUAAAGAAGCUUGUAAGAUGUGUAAAAGUUAAGAAUUCAUUUUCACUAACAAUUAUUCUCAAACUUAAAUGAGGAUACUGAGGACAUGAAAAUUACAGAGCUAGUAUCAUGAUGCUAUAAAAUACUGAUAUAUUUAAUAUCCCAACAGGGACUGAUUAGACUUAUAUAUUUAAAACAUAUUUAAGUUGCUUAGAAAUUUUAAGUCAAUAAAAUUCACAUACAAUAAUAUACAUUAUAAAAUAUGAAUUUAAAGCUUUGGAAUUUACUGAUCAGACAUUUCCAAUAGCUCUUUGAAAUGUUCCCAUACAUAUAUUUUGUUGUUUGCUUGAUGGCAAAGUUUAAAAAUGUUGAGUAAAAAUAUUAGAACUUGUGAAACCCUGUUUGUAUACACCCAAACACACUUACAUAUCUAUCUAUAUCUAUCUAUAGAAAUAUAUGUAUGCAUUUGUAUACACACACACACACACACACACACACACACAUAUGGCAAAAUACAUUGCUAGAACAAAGGAAGUGGAGUCACAUAGAUUCUUAGUAUCCAUUCAGAUUCAAAAAUUCUAACAAACUAAAUAUGGGAUUAAGGAAUGGUAAAAUUUUAAAUCUCAUAUUAGCACUACGUACUGUUUUAACAAGCAAUCAACUAAACAAAGGCAUUUUCUUCUCUUUAAGAGCAAUUCAGUGGGCAGGUCACGAUCUCUCUGUCUGUGUGUGUGUGUGUGUGUGUGUGUGUGUG